CUGUUCGGCUGACAUAUCAUUUCCAUCGGAGGGAUUCCCUGCCAAUCUCACAUCACUUGCAAUCUCAAACGCACCCAAGAUUUAUAGGUCACUUGUGGAAUGGGGAUUAAAUAGACUCACCUCUCUUCAAAAAUUGACCAUCGGAGGUGGAGGAUGCUCAAACGUGGUGUCGUUCCCAGAAGAAGGGAUUGGAAUGAUGCUGCCUCCUUCUCUCACCCGUAUUAGUCUUUUCCAAUUUGAGAACCUGGAAUUCAUGUUCUCCGAGGGCUUUCAAGACCUCGCCUCUCUUAAAGUAUUGGACAUCGAUAAUUGUCCCAAGCUAACAUCUCUUCCAAAAAAAGUCGUGCUUCACUCCCUUGGAUAUUUAUCUCUUUCCAGUUGUCCGUUGCUACAAGAAGAGUGCUCAAGUGAUAAAGGACGAGAGUGGUCUAAGAUUUCCCACAUACCCCUUGUUGAAAUUGAUAAUAAAGCAGUCAUCCCGAGGGAAUCAGAUUGAAAGAUGAGUCGUAAAAUCUGUGAUUGGUUUCUUCAGAGUGAUGGGAGAGGUACAAAAAACCAUUUCAAACAAGUCUAACUUUCUUUACGAACAAGAUAAGAGUAGGAAUCAGUAUCAAUUUAUUGAUUAAUAUUUGCAGGGAUUGAAAGAGAAGUUGGGGUGGAAGUGAGGUUUCAGAAAGAUCCAAGUUUCAGAAAGAUCCUUUGAAGGAAAAGUAAAAAAGAUGUCACUUCUCUUGUUAAAAAUUUCAAAGAUGUUAUUGGCACACAAUUCAGGUGGAAUUUGUCAUUUAGUGUUUCAGAGGUUUGUAAACUUGUUUCUUGUUAAAAAUUUCAAUGACAAAAGUAUAAAUGUUGAUGAGAUGUUAUUGGCAUAUAGUUUAAUGGGUGGUGUUUCAGUAGUUUCAGAUGUUUGUAAACUUGUUUCUUGGCUUUGGGGUUUAAUGUUGGAGUAGCAUUAGAUCAUCGGUUUUUCUAGAAUGUGAGCUUUGUCUAUUGUUUAUUUUAUUCUUCUACUUUACUUUUCUUAUAUACAAUUUCACGUUCAACUUCAAUCUUAUAACAUUUUUUUUAAUUUUCAAUAUAUCUUUAGUUAUCUUCUAUUUUGGAAAAUUUAGGCAAAAAUGCCAUAAAGAAAACUAAUAUUUCGAAAGAAUGCACAUUUUGUUACAAAAUAUUUUUUUUCUUUUUCUCUGUCCAAAAUAUAUCAAUUUCUCCAAAUUUAGGAAAUAUCGACUUGAUUCCCUAACUUUUUUUUUAUUUCAACAUUUUUAUCUAAAUUUCUCCUAUUUUUCUAUUUCACUUUCUUGUUUUUUUUUUCUCUUUCAAUUUUAUUUCUUUCUUUUCUUCCUAUUCUUUCCUCUCUUUCCCAACCUUAACUGUCUCUAGCAUGCACUACAGCCGCACUACGACAUUUGUUCCUCUGUCCAAAUAAUGGCAUUGGUCAACUCUUUUCCUCAUUCUCUUUCAUUUCCAAAUAAUGGCGUUGGGGUUCUCCUCCGUCAAUCACCUUGCUCUUUUGUCAUCAUGUUGUCACUAAUCAGAGAAGCCACCAAAUGGUCCACAUUUCCUUUCUCUCUCCUACUUCUUUUGUCAUCACUGCUUGUUACGAUGUUGUCACUAAUCUUGAAGGCAAAUCAAUUCAACAAAAAGUGUAUUAUCACAUUCAAUUUCGACCUUUCUGAAGUCUUUUCCUCGUAUUAUGAAAACACCUUCCAACAUGGUAGAGCGGAUUUUUUUGAAUAUUGAAUAUAGAGCAUAUAUGAUAAUUGAUUAUCUUGCUAAUUGGUUAUCUUGCUUCGUUUUUCUAUAUAAAUUUAUUAUUUUACUUUUAUAUAUGUAUGAUAAUUGGUCUCUUUCUAACAUUUCAAAGUUUAAUAUUCCAGCAGAUAAGACAAUGUUGAGGUUUGGAAACUCAGAACAUUUUGAAAUUGAUGGUUGGGAGGAGUUGGCAUCUCUAUCACGGUAUGGGUUUAGUUUAGUUGAACAUCGUUUCAUUUCCUUUUGGCGAUGUCCUCAACUACAGUCUUUGGAAGCCGAGGAAGCCGAAUUGCAACCUGACAAGAUUUCAUGUGUUAAAUCUCUGCGGAUAUAUGACUUUGAAAGGCUCAAUAGACUGCCACAAGUCUUACAUGAGCUCAUAUUGCUUACAGUGAUGGAAAUUGAUAAUUGUCGAAGCUUGGUUUCUUUUGCUGAGAAUAACUUACCUCCUAAUUUAAAAAAGUUCAGAAUUAGAAACUGUGAGAAUUUGGAGUAUUUGGUUGAUGAAAAAGAAGAUAAUAAGUGUUUACACCAUUUUUUGUAAAACGGAGUCGACUUUAAUUUUGAAAAUAAAAACGAAUAUGGGAGUCACCACCAAUCUUUUUUAAUGAGGUGUGAUCGGGUCACCUCGAAAAGUUAUUAUUUUAAUAAACAAUUUGAUUUAUUAAAACAAUAAUUUCGGUCUACGGAAUUUAAAAAAAUGGGUUCGGGAGUCGGUUAUGUACGAGGAAGGAUUAGCACCCUCGUAACGCCUAAAAUUGGUACGUAGUUGAUUAAUUACUGUCUUAAUGUCGAAGAUUAAAAAUUUUGAAGAGUUUUUUUAAAAAAUAUAAUCCUUUGCUAAAAUACCGACAAUUUUCGAGAAAAGGAGUAUAUUUCACGUUAAUCGAGAGAGAAAAUUACAUCUCGUAAGUUAAGACAUAAUGUCUUGAAUUCCUGAUACGAGAAUAAAUACCAAAAAAUUAUUUAACUAUCUCGAGUUUAGAAAAGUGAUCGUGUCUCGUAAGUUAGAACACGAUCUUUUGCUAUUUCUCGAGAUCGUUUAAAAACCUUUGUUUGAAAAGAUUCGUGUAUUUAGAUUUAUUGCGAAAAUUGUAACCCCUAAGUUAGGGUACGACCUUCUUGAAUCUAAACUCGAAAUUUUACUUAUUCAAAAGUCAUAAUUUAUGCAUUGAAUAAAAUUAAUCUUACUUGAAUUAGUAAAAAUACAACACAUUGUUAAUAUGCGUAACAAAACAAUAAUAGAUACGACAAUGUAAGCAUGAAUAAUGCGAGUAACAACAAAAUAAUAAGUAAACAAAAUAAAAAGGACAAAGUGAUUACAUAUAAAAUAACAAGUAAAUAAAUAAGUAGAACUAAAACAUUUUUUAAAGUAAUAGUGUAUAUGAAUAAAUAAAUAAACACCAGGUAACAAUGAUAACAAUAAAUAAAAUAAGUAAAACUAUGUAAAAAUGAAGAUAUAUGUAUUUAUAUAUAAUUUUAAGUUAUGAAAAAAAAGUAUAUAUAGUUUUAAGUUAUAAAAAAUAUAUAUAUAAAUAUAGAUAGUUUUUAUAAAGUAAAAAAAUGUGUAUAUAUAUAAAUUAUAGAAUAUACAUAUAUAUUAUAAAAAUAUAUGUAUGCAUGUACAUAUUUUAAAAUUAUAAAAUAUAAAAGACGUAUGUAUAUAUAUAUACAGAUUAUAAAACAUGUGUAUGUGUAUAUUUAUAUUAGAAAAAUGUAUGUAUAUAUAUAAAAUUUGGAAUUAGAGGUAUAAAUGAGUAAAUAAUAAUAACAACAAUAUUAAUGAUAUAAUAUAAUAGUAAUAAUAAUAUUAACAUGAUCAAUUUAAUAAUAAAAUAACCUAAAUACCAAAUAGAUGACUAAAUUGAAACCAAACAAAACCUUAGGGCCGAAAUAAAAAAAUCUAGAACAAAGAAAAGGACUAAAUAGUGACGCGCGCGAAAGGAAGGGGACCAAAAGGAAAUUUAUCCAGGCCUCGAAAUCGGACAGCUUCGAUCGGGACCAAAUUGAAGAAGCGAUAAAUUUUUGGGGUAAAAUUAAAAAACUAAAAAUACUUUAUGGUAAAACCAUUAAAAGUGGAAGGACCUAUUGCGCAAAUAGACCCUUCACCACAAAAACACUCAGAUCCUGAGGGUAAAUGGGUCGGGUCACGGGUCAGAGACCAAAACGACGACGUUUUGGUCUCUGAACUUAAAUUCCAAAACGGCGUCGUUUCCUGCUUCUUAUUUAAACACCUUUUUUUUUUAAUUUCCCCCCUCACACUAAAAAAAAUCUGUAGAAACCUCUCAAAGCCUACCCCAUGCCCUCCGACGGUUGGGCUUCUCAUCGCCGCUCAUCCGUUCGUCGCCCCGCCACUAAACCGACGACCGACGAAGCGCGAUAACUGGCUCUUAAAGCCCUAUUUCUGGGCGAGUUACAAGGUCGGGCCUUUGAGCCCUAUAAGGACAGAGACAAAGGCCCUCGAACCCCUAUUCAAGUCUGGUCCCCACGACGGAGAACCGCCCUCUGACGGCGCGGUCACUAGGCGUCCGGUGAGCUUUUUUUCCCUCUUUUUUAUUCUUUUUUGAUAGUUUUUUUCCUUAAAAAAUAGACUUAAAAAGAGAAAAAAUGAUGAAAAAUAAAAAUAAUCAAUCGAACAAAAAACGAAGAAUAGCAACCUUUGUUUUCUUUUUAUUCCUGGUGUCCGUGAAAAAAAUACCAAAAGAAAUACAAGAAACAGUUCGGGCUUUUAUAGCCGAAUACAGAAAUAUUUUUUUGUUCUCUUCUCUGUUGUUUUCUUCUGUUUUCUUGUCCUUUUCCAUGUUGUUUUCUUUUUUAAUUUGCGUGUUUUCUUCUCAUUGCAGGUGGAACAGGUACGGAUGGGACGUGACGAACAGCGGCCAGCAAGGGUCAGAAGACGCGGCGCUAGGGUUUCAAACUUUCUGAAACCCUAGUUUGACCAAUGGGUCAGAGGGUUUUGGGCCAAUUAGAUUAUUGGGCCUUUUGGGGCCAUUCGGGUUUUGGCAUGUAAUGGACUGUUAUUUUUUUAAUAUUUGGGCCUGGGAAGAAAUUGGGCUUGUACAAUAAGAGUAUAAGUAGUACCCUCUGUCUUCUUGAGGACUUGUCUAUUUAUAAGUGUCUGUAUCUAAUGUCUUUGUCAUCGAAGGGGCACAAAAAUAUUUGCAAGCAGCUUCAACUUCUCCAAAUUACCGAAUGCUCAAAGUUGAGUUGCCUAUUUUCAAACACCAAGUUUCCCAUAACUCGUGGAUUUACUUGGUUUACUUGGUUUGGAAAAGGAUAUCUCAUUGUUAAUAAACUUAUCUUCUAUUUUGGAAAAAUUAGGCAAAAAGAUCGAAAAAAAAAUUAGGGAGUUAGGUCGAAAAUUUUCAAGUUUAAGGAGAUAUGUUGAUUUUGAACAGAAAAAUAGAAAAUGCGUCUUGAGAAAAGCGCUUUUUGCAAAACUCAUUUUCUUUUGACAAAUUAGUAUUUUUUUACAAUAUAUUUAUUAAAGAGAAAUUGAACUCGAACACUCAAUAAUAAAACUACUAAUAUUUGACAAUUUGGCUAAAAAAAAAGCUAAUAUGUCAAAAGAAUAAAAUUACCGAUAGGACCAAUGGAUAGUGUGAUAUAUCUCUAACUAGCUUCCAACCCAAUGAGCUUUCUAUAAUUUGCAAGGUAAAUAAAAACAAAUAUGUAAGCAAUGAAUGCUUAGUAAGCUCGUGUAAUCUUUAAUCAUAUUAGUUCAUCUAAAAUUGAAAUCUAUACAUAUCAAGAAUAAUCCAAUAUUAAUACCAUAAUACUCAUGAAGCUAUAUUCAUCAGCUCACGAGGUGAAUAAAUCCACAGUAUCACCUAAAUAUAUAAUCCCAAGUUUAGUAGGAUUUUAUAUAACUUUAACUCUUUAUAAUUUCUUUAUUUUCAUUUGCAUUUCUUUACUUUCCACGCUUAUUCCAUAUGUGUGACACACAAGUCAUAAACAUAUCAUUCAACCAUAGUCACAAGCUAAUGCAUUUAAUCAAAGUCUUUUUCGAAUUGAUCACAUGAUAAAUCAUUUCAUAAGAAAUUGCAUAAUCUAAACCUUACCACUUUUUAGUGAGCGCUAGCAUAUUUUUAUUUAGAUACUUUCCAAUUCAAUGCAUUAUAUAAAUAAUCAUAAUACCAUUCAACCAAUAGCUUGGCACUUGCCUAAGCAUCAAGCAAGAAUACUGGUUAGUGUACUUGCACACAUUAUAUAUAAACUCAUCAUACAUAAUUUUCUUGUAUCAACAUAUUAAAGAUAAUCAUACAUUUACAUGUCAUGAUACAUAUCAUUCUCUUGUCAUUUCUUCAUAGACAUAUAUCAUUCAUUUCAUUAUUUCAAUAUUUCAUGUACCAUCAUUUUCAUGAAUUUCGUACAUCCCAGUAAUAGUUCAUUUCAAAUUCAUGUUAUCUCACUUCAUAACUUUACCCGUUAUAUCAUUUAAAUAUCAAUGGUUACAUUUAUUUCAGAUCAAUACCAAUAAUAAUCUAUAAAUCUUUUAAUUCAAUCACAUAAGUCUUUUAUCGUUUCUUUCUGAAUCGAAGAACGACUUAUUGAUUUGAGUACAUCGUUCUUUGGUGCCAUAUUCCAACUAUGGUCUUGCACAUAUAAACACUGCCAUAGUCCGACCAUGGUCUUACAUUCAUAGUGCCAUAACCCAGUUAUGGUUUUAUCCAUCAAUUCAUCAUUUGCCACAAAAUGAUUGUACUCAAUCCCGCGUUCAAUCCAAAUUGAGUAUUAAAUUCGAUAUUAUAUUUCCAAUAAUAAUUCAAUUCCAUGUUUUCUAUUACCCUUAUUAUUUUCCCAUAUUUAUCUCGUUAAAUUUCUUGGAUAUUUGAUGGAUUUUCAGAUGUACACUUUUAGUGUACAAUUUCGGGUCCGUCAAUUCAUAUUCAUGUGGGCACAUUUUCAUUUCAGAGAGCACACUCUCGCGAACCUUAUCCUUACAAUGGGAUUACGAGUCCAGGCUAAAUCCCCUAUAAUAUAAACUCAUAGAGUGUUUUCGGGAUUACCAGUCCAGGCUAAAUCCCCUACAAUGACAAUUACUCUAAUGAGCUUGGAUCUGAAUUACCAGUCCAGGCUAAAUUCAAACCCUAAUUUGGAUUACCCGUCCGGGCUAAAUCCAUUUUCCACAUAUUCUUCGAAAGGGCUAUAUCAGGAUAGGAACACCCGUCCGGGCUAGAUCCUUUUUACCGUCAAUUCCUUUUCAGAGAUCCAUCGAAUUUUCCUUCCAUUCAACCGGGAUUUCUUUCCUUUUUUAUCAAAUAUAUCAAUGUUUCAUCAAUUAUCAUACAAUGAACAUUCAAAUCAUAUUCACAUAAAUAACAUACAUUUCAAGCAUUUAAGAAUAUAAUUCAAGUUACGCGAACCUACCGAGCUAAAUUGUAAAAAUACCAAAAUUUAAGAACAUUUUGGUAAUUUUCCAUUUUCCUCGAAUUUGUACCCAAUCUUGAUCUAAAUUAAUAUUUCUUUCAAUUUAUUAAUUUAAAUAAUAAAAAAAUUCAUUUCAUGCAACUUAGUCACUUUUUGACAUUUUUUACAAAUUUACCUUUAAAAUAUUACUUUUAUUCAAUUUAGUCCCUGAACCUAAAACAUGCAAAAUAAUCAUUUUUAAUGAAAACUCAUGCUAGUUGAAUAAUCAUAUAUUUUCCUCCUCCUCCUCUCCAUUCCACAUCCUUGAUGUAUGUAACAUGCUUAUAUGUAAUAUUAUCUAUAAUUUCACCAUUUAUUUAUAUAUUCAUUCAAAUAUGUCCAAAACUGUUUUAGUGUAAAAUGUUGAUAACUAAAUUUAUAACACUUUCCUUUCCUUUCUCUUCAAUAUUUUCCAUCACUUUCUCUUUUUUCCCUUUACUAACAAAACAAGAAUAUAGGACCUUAUAUAAUGAAACUCUACAUUGACAUUAAUUUCCCACUUUUUCAAAAAUAUAUUGAAAUCUUAAUGUUUUUACCUUGUGCUAUUGAUUUCAAUCUUUAACUUAAUUUUCUCUCUCCUCCAGCUUCUAUUUCUUUAAUCUAACUUGAUAUUCUAGCUCCCCAUAGUCUCCUUGUUAUCUUUCUCUCUUGAUGGCUAUGGAAAUUCUUUUGAUUUCUAGGUGAAAAUGGUAAUUUUUUGGUGGAAGGACCAAAUUGUAAAGAAAGCAAAACUUUCUUUCUUUCCCUCUUUUUCUCACGUUGAAUGUAUAGGAAGAUGAUAACUUCUCUUCAUUUUUCCUCCCUUUUAUAUUAAUCAUUUAAUAAUAAAAUAAUACUAAAAAUCUUAAUAAAAUAUUAAUUAAAUAACAUUUAUCUAAUUACUUAAUUAAAAAUAUCACCAACAUCAUAAUUACCUUCUAGAAUUCUCUCUCUCUAAUUGACUAUUUUGUCAUUUAUAGUCUUUUAAAAUUCCAUCCUUGAGUCAUCACUUAAUUUGGUAAAAUUGUAGUUUAGUCCCUCAAAAUUCUUUACCUUUUCAAUUUGGUCCUAAUCCAUCCAUUUUCCUUAGUUUCUAGAUUAAUCCACCCUUAAAAUAUUUUCACUAUUGGUCCUUCAACUUUUUCAUAUUUACACUUUAACCCCUCAAAUUUUGAGUAUUUACUAUUGGGCAACAAAACAUUUCUCACUUUUACAAUUUAAUCCUUUCUUGAAUUAAUAUGCCAUAAUAUACUUCCCAAUGUUAACAUAACUCAAAAUUACCCUUUUUUAUCACUUUAUUUCCUUAUUUUACUAUAUUAGGAAUAUUAUCUUACUUUCUUACUGUAGUAAUUUUCGGGGUAUUACAUUCGAGUUCGAAUUGAGUUGAAUUUUACAAUUCGAAUAACUCUAAUAAUUUGAAUAAGAGAUUGAUGUACAUACCUUUUUGGUCUCUGUCAAAUUUAAAAAUAAGCAAAUUGGUCUUUCUCAACAAAAAUUACAAAAAAUUCAAAAUAAUUUUCAAAAAUUCAAAAUAAUUUUCAAAAAUUCAAAAAUAAAUUUUAAAACUCAAAAUAUUUAUAAAAAUUCUAAAAUUUAUAUUUUUCAAAAAAAUAAAAAAAUUUCAAAAAAGUUUUAAAAAAUUAUAAAGAAAGUUAAAAAUUUUAAAAAAAAUUAAAUAAUAAUUUAAAAUUUAAAAUAAUGUAUAUAACUAAAACAAUUAAUUUAUUGUUAAAUUAUGCAUUAAAACACAAUACUUGUAUGGUGUAAAUAAUUACAAUUAGAUAGUCAUAAUUACUGAAUUAAUUUGGGUAUAGUACCAAUAAAGGCUCAUUUCUGAAUUUUUUUUACGGAAAUGUGCAGUUUUUACAAAUAAUUACGAGUAUGGUUUGAAAAUCUAAAAAUGCACUCACAUUGACGUGCUUUUAGGGGAUAACUUAGAAAAAACGCUUCCACGUCAGCGCUUUUUUUCUUGUAUCAGGCAAAAGCACGCUGACGUAGACACGCUUUUGCCCGUGCUUGGACUAAAUUUUCAAAAAAACGAUCACUUUUUAAAAUAUUUCAAAAAUAGACUAAUUUUUUUUGAAAAUUUAAAAGAUUAAGCCUUUAUAAAAACUCAAAGUGACAAUACUAUUUCUUUUUUUUUUUGUGCCACCAAUUUGUAUGGGAGUAAAACUUACAAAAUAUAUAUUUACUAUAAACCCAAAGUCUCAUUUUCUACAUUGUAAAAUAUAAUUAGUUACAUAAAGAUCUGUUCUGUAAAUUUUAUUUUCAUAUUAAUUGGUGGUACAAGAAAAGAAGAAGAAAAAAAUAGUACUCCCACUUUGGAUUUUAUAAAUGUUUAUUCUCAUAAAAUUUUAAAAAAUUGAUAUAUUUUUAUAAUAUUUAUAAAAUAACAUUUUUUAAAAAUUUAGUAUACAACACGUGGACGUAAGAAAAAAAAAGUUGAUGUGGAAGCGCUUUAUUCCUUAUAUAUUUUUAUAUUUGAUACAAACGGAAAGCAAAAAACAUUACCAACCGGCUAACCAAUGGAGCUUUGCCACGUUUACAGAAAAAUAACAUAUUACAAUGACAUUAAAUGUAUGUCCUGCGGGUGUGCAGGAAAGAUAAAUGGUUGUGUAGGCAUUGUUUAUUGAUUGGUAGCUGAUAAGAAAAUAUAGUAGAGUAUGCUCCAAUAAUAGAGUCAUUUAAUUUCAGAAAUCCAAAAACUGUGACCUGUUUUCCACUUUCUUGUGUUUUCCAUCUCAUUUCUCUCUAUUCGUUGACUUCAGCUCCAUUCCCUGUUAACCCCAAUUAUACACAAUCCAUCUCAUUUAAUUUCGGAAACUGCUUGCUGAUACUCUUCCACCAUAGCCAUUGCUUCACAGUAAAUUGCCUGCAAAAAUUGACACGAAUUUUACAUUUUAUUUUCCUACGAUAUUCAAAAAAAAAAAAACCAGUAAAUGAAAAUUAAAUUAGAAUAUCACCAUUGCUUCUAAGUAGCGUAAUCUUUCUCUCGACAUUUCCUCUCUCGCCUGAAAAUCGAAAUCCAUCACAUUACUUGAAAAAGGAAGAGGGAAUGACACAAGAAAAAAAAUCAAAUUUUAAUAGAGAAUACGAGCUGGAGAUCGUAGUAGGCGGAUUUGGAGAUAAGAGAUCCAUCGGGAGAUAAGCAAUGGCGCUCUAGCUGAUCGAUUACUUGGAUGACGUCAGCCGGCAAGUUUUGCCCCUCCUUUCACCAUGAAUUCAGUCUUGUUUUGGCUUCGAAACGAUGUUAAUGUGUUUUGUUUGUUUACUGGGAAAAUGAAAAGGAAACUAAACGAGAAAAAGGCCGGCCUUCGGAUUUUUGAAAACUGGAAUUGAAAUGGAAGCAAAGGUUAUCGAAGGAGUGAAAAUACAAAAUCAACUCUCUAAUUUUUUUAUCGGAGAAAAAUAAAUCAAAACAUUUAUUUAUGAUUAAAAUCUUCUUUUACUCCUUGUAAUUUGACAAAAUUUUAUAUUUAGUCCCUAUACUUUACAAAUUUAAAAAAUUAGCUCCUCCUACAUUUUUUAUUUAAAAAUAACAGCCCAAUCAUUAAAAUCGCAUGUAUUUACCAAAGUCAAAUUGACAUCAUGUUUAGGUUGCCCUCAUGUAUUGUAACAUAUGUUUGACGGAAAAUAAACAUGUCAAGUUGACAAGUUUUAAUAUAAACUACCAAUAACGAUAAUGAUUGAAAUAAAAUUUUAUAAAUUAAAAAUGUAGGAGAAUUGAUUUUUUAACUUUUUAACUAUAUGGACUAAAUCUCAAAAUUUAUAAAAAUAUAGAGACUAAUAAUAUAUUUAACAUUUAUUUAUGUUUAAGUUAAUUAUUGUUCAUUUUCUUUUUACCUCAAAUAAAUUAUUUAUCUCAAAUUUUAUUUAAGUUUUUUUUUAAAUAUGUUAAGGAAAAAUAAGAUGGUAACUGCUAUAUAAAUUUAUCAUUUUAUUCUUAUAUAUGUAUAAUUAUUAAAAGAGUAAAAAUGUAAAAAUACAUUAUAGAAAAACACUUACAUUUUAUGUUUAGAAUUUAUUUUCAAUUAAAAUUAUGUUUAAAUAUUUGUUUGUCUUUAAAAAGAUUAGAAAUAAUUAAUAAAAAUCACAUUAAAGUGAGACCAGGAGAGACGAAGAUGAAUGUAUCUAACAUCAAUGGGAGUUGUAGUACUUUUUAAAAGGUAAAAUGACUUAUUUGGCCUUUCAACUUAUCAAAACAAAAGUAAUUUUAGUCCUUCAUUUAAUUUUUUUUACUUUUUUUAACCUUUAAACUUGUGCUUUGUUUGUCAAAUCACCUAAAAUAGAUGUAAAAAUUAAUAUAUAUUAAUUUUGUUGACGUGACAUACACGUAAAAUGUCACAUAAAUGUUAAAUCAAUAAUUAAUUAAUUUUUAAAAUUCAAAAAUAUAUAAUAAAUUAUUUUAAAAAAAUAAAAAUUAUUAAACUUAUUAAAAAAUAUUUUUUUAAUAAUUUUAAUUUUAAAAAUUGGAAUAAUUGUUAAUGGACACGCCAGAGGCAAAUCUAGGGGGCUUGCAAGGCCCUGACCCCCAUAAAAUGGAAAAAUACUAUUUAGGCUCUUUAAAAUUUUGUAAAAUUUAAAUUAAUAAAUGUAAAAUUGUACUUUGGUCGGCCUAAAAUUAUAAAAAUUUGAUUUAAUCUUUUAGAUAUUAUAAAGAUAUAGACUAUAAAAAAUUAAAAAUUUCAGUCGCCCCCUAAAAAUUAUUCUGGCUUCACCCCUAGGACAUACAUAUGGAUUGCGAUAUCAGUAAAGUUAACAAACAUUAACUUUUUCAUGCAUUUCGAAGUGAUUUGACAAACAAUAAAAAUUUAAAAAUUAAAAAAGAUGAAAAAGAUGAAAAAAAUGACUAAAAUGAAACUUUUAUAAAAUUGAAAGAUGAAACAAAUUAUUAUACCAUUUCUUUUGUAAAACAGAGCACAAAUAUCUCAAUUUUUACAAAAAAUUAGACAUAUUUAAAAUAUGAGUGAAGCUCAGACUUAAACAUUCAAGGCUCAAACUUAGCUCAAUUUGACUCACUUUUAAGUUUAUAAUACUUUAUAUUAUAUUAUUUAAAUUAUAACACAUAAAAAUAUAUUAAAUAUAUAAUACUACUCUAAUGUAAAUAUUAAAAUAAUGUUAAGAUGUCUAUGUAAAAAAAAUUAAUAAAUAAAAUUAUAUAAAAUUAUAAAUAUUAAAUUAAUAUAAUAUAAAUAUUUUUAAAAAAUUUAAAAAUUAAUAUGGACGGACUUAAAAUGGAUUUUAAUUAGUAUUUUGUAAAUACAGACAAGCUUGAAUAAAAUUUUAGGUCCAUAUUUUCUGAUUUUCAACUUUACUCAAAAGUUUAGAUAAAUUAUUAAAUUACCCCACUUGUAAUUUUUGUAAAAACAUUUAUGAUUCGAAGCGAAUCCACACUUGACAGACGUGAGCUUGAGGGCAGCGAAGAAGACUACUCGGUCAAAGCGUUCAUCCUAAAUGAAUUGAAAAAGUACUUUUGAUUAAUUGUUUAAUACUUUAGAUAUCACAACUAAGACCUUGUUUUGAAAAAAUUUUAAAACUCUAGUUUUUCCCUAAUUUUAUUUUCACCUGUGUUUUCUAAACUCGUUUUUUUUUCCAAAAAUGUACUCAUGAGUCUUCAAAAAAAAUAGUAUGUCUUCAACGGGUUUAUCAAACAUGAUUUCUUUUGAACCGUAAUGUUCAGGCCGGGUUUGGGGUAUUACAAAUCACUUAGUCCUCGAAUUUUCUUGGGUUCAAUCCUUAGAAUACUCGAGUGUUCCAUUAUAACACUAAAAAUAUUACAACUCGUGUAACAGUCCGAUUUUUGGUGAUGUCAGAGAUAGUGGUUCGGGCCACUAAAUUCAACGAGUAAGUUCGUAAAUAUUAUUAUUUAAUAUUUACAAGUUAAAUGUGUUUAUUAAAAAAAAGUACAUUCUCGGGACUCCGUUCCCGUAGAACAGACUCAUAAAUCUUUUUAAUAAAUAUUUACGGAGCUAGUUGUGUAGUUAAUUAGGUUUCGAUUAAGUAAAUUUGCUUGAAUUAAAAGUAAUUAGAUAAAAAGACUAAAUUGAAUUGAUUGUAAAAGUUUAAUUAUGAAAUAAAUAAAUAAAAGGGACUAAAUUAGCAAAUAAACAAAAAGUGACACUUGUGUGGUUAUAAUAAAAUACAUGUGUAAUAAAUAUAUACAUACGUUUGUAACAAUAUGUAUAAUUUACUUAUUAUUUAAGUAUAAGAUAUUUUAGAUUAAAAUAUUAUUAUAUUAUAUUAUUAUUAUAAACAAAAGAAAGAAAAGAAAUAAGAAAGAAACAGAAAGCUUAAAACGAAACAGUGAAGGAAAGAAGGAAAGAAAAGAAAAGAAAGAAAGAAAAGGGAAAAUUGUGGUUUUGAAGUUUGUCAAAUUAGUCUAUUUUCUUGUAAUUUUGAUAUUUUUGAAAUCCUAGAACAAAAUACUACUUGGUUUAAGUUGAAAAUUUGAAAGUUAGUAAAUUUUUAGAUGUUGUUCAUGUUGAAUUAAUUGAUGAAUUAGGGAUUAAAUUGAUUGAAUUUCAAGUUAGAAAUUAGUAAAGGGUUGAUUUGUAAAAUAAAACAUGAGUUAAUUGAACUAAAAUUGACAAGUGCAAAUGAGUUAAAUUAGCACCCUUUUUGUGUGAAGUGAGUGAAUCGCUUCUUAAACAAUAAUGCUAUCAUCAACUAUAUGUCUACCCGUGAGAAUGCUGUACUAGAAGGGGAAAAUGAGUUUUUAAAGGAAGGGAUGAAGGUGAUUGACCGUUAUUUUAGUAAUGAUCUUAUAAGUGAUUAAUUCGAGAUACGAGAAUUGCGGAGAAGACCGUUUAGUAUAAAGCCAUGAAAUAACUUAAUCCACGUAUUACAAAACACAUGUAACAACUUAGUUAAGGGUAUAUUUUUAUAAAUAUAAAAAAGAUUAAUUAAAAAAAAUUAAAUUUAUGUCUAAAUAUAUUAUUUUUAAACCAAUUUUUCCAACAUAAGAAAAUGCAACUAUGAUAAUCUUAUGGAUAUAUGUUAUUUUAUAGUUUCUUGUAAAUCAUUAUCUGAAUGCGUCCCCACUGAGUACAGCAAUAAUCAAAAACAAAAGUUGAUACUCAUAUGUGUGGUAUCUUUUACAUUCAGACUAUGAAAAAUCGAAUCCUUUUUGGCUAAUUGAAUCCUAAUCAUGGUUGAAACCAAGAAUCUAUUGGAUUUAUAUUCCAAUAUGCUUCGUUUUAAUGUGCAUACCAGAGGCGAAUCUAGGUGUGCUUGUAGGCCUUACCCCAUUAAAAUAAAAAAUUAUUAUUUAGGUUCUUUAAAAUUUUUUAAAUUUUAAAUUAAUAAAGAUAAAAUUUUACUUUGGCCGUCUUAAAAUUAUAAAAAUUUAAUUUAAUCCUUUAGAAAUUAUAAAGAUAUAAACUAUAAAAAAUUAAAAUUUCAUUCGCCCCCUAAAAAAUAUUUACGAAGCUAGUUGUGUAGUUAAUUAGGUUUCGAUUAAGUAAAUUUGCUUGAAUUAAAAGUAAUUAGAUAAAAAGACUAAAUUGAAUUGAUUGUGAACGUUUAAUUAUGAAAUAAAUAAAUAAAAGGGACUAAAUUAGCAAAUAAACAAAAAAAUGUGACACUUGUGUGGUUAUAAUAAAAUACAUGUGUAAUAAAUAUAUACAUACAUUUGUAAUAAUAUGUAUAAUUUACUUAUUAUUUAAGUAUAAGAUAUUUUAGAUUAAAAUAUUAUUAUAUUAUAUUAUUAUUAUAAACAAAAGAAAGAAAAGAAAUAAGAAAGAAACAGAAAGCUUAAAACGAAACAGUGAAGGAAAGAAGGAAAGAAAGAAAAGGGAAAAUUGUGGUUUUGAAGUUCCGUCAAAUUAGGGUGGGUUUGGAUGGGCGAUUGGGUGCGAUGCGGUGCAUUUAGCUUACUUUUUGUCUCACGCUACAGUAUCACUACAGUAUCUAAUCUCACCGCCACCGCUAUUUUUACACUAACCGCAGAUAAACGCACCGCCCAUCCAAACUCAAGGUUAGUCCAUAUUCUUGUAAUUUUGAUAUUUUUGAAAUCCUAAAAUAAAAUACUACUUGGUUUAAGUUGAAAUUUUGAAAGUUAGUAAAUUUUUAGAUGUUGUUCAUGUUGAAUUAAUUGAUGAAUUAGGGAUUAAAUUGAUUGAAUUUUAAGUUAGAAGUUAGUAAAGGGUUGAUUUGUAAAAUAAAACAUGAGUUGAUUAAACUAAAAUUUACAAGUGCAAAUGUGUUAAAUUAGCACCCUUUUUGUGUGAAGUGAGUGAAUCGCUUCUUAAACAAUAAUGCCAUCAUCAACUAUAUGUCUACCCGUGAGAAAGCUAUACUGGAAGGGGAAAAUGAGUUUUUAAAGGAAGGGAUGAAGGUGAUUGACCGUUAUUUUAGUAAUGAUCUUAUAGGUGAUUAAUUCGAGAUACAAGAAUAGCGGAGAAGACCGUUUAGUAUAAAGCCAUGAAAUAACUUAAAUCCAUGUAUUACAAAACACAUAUAAUAACUUAGUUAAGGUUUUAUUUUUAUAAAUAUAAAAAAUUAAAUUUAUGUGUAAAUAUAUUAUUUUUAGACCAAUUUUUCCAACAAGUUAAAUGAAUCAUUUCCAAUUGAAACCGAGAAUGAAACACCCCAAUAAGAAAAUGCAACUAUGAUAAUCUUAUGGAUAUAUGUUAUUUUAUAGUUUCUUGUAAAUUAAAAUUUCAUUUGCCCCUAAAAAAUUAUUCUGGCUUCACCCCUGAGACAAACAUGAAUUGGCACAUCAGUAAAGUUAACAAACAUUAACAUUUUCAUCUAUUUUAAAGUGAUUUGACAAACAAUAAAAAUUUAAAGAUGAAAAAAUGAAAAAAAAUGACUAAAAUGGAAUUUUUAUAAAAUUGAAAGAUGAAACAAAUUAUUAUACCAUUUAUUUUGUAAAACAGUGAUGACAACCCCUCUCAAUUGCCAUCCUUGGUGUUAGCAACCCCAAAAUGGUAGGUAAUGUUGAUAUAAAUAUACAAUUAUUAAUUGUUCCAAGUGCAGAAAACCACAAUAAUAACUUUAUGAGAAACAAAAUUAAGAAAAUAAAUGAAAAUGUUUGAGCAAAAAUAUCUCAAUUUUUACAAAAAACUAAACAUGUUUAAAAUAUGAGUGAAGCUCAGACUUAAACAUUCAAGUCUCAAACUUAGUUCAAUUCGACUCAUUUUUAAGUUUAUAAUACUUUAUAUUAUAUUAUGUAAAUUAUAAUACAUAAAAAAUAUAUUAAAUAUAUAAUACUACUCUAAUGUAAACAUUAAAAUAAUGUUAAGAUGUCUAUGUAAAAAAAAUUAAUAAAUAAAAUUAUAUAAAAUUAUAAAUAUUAAAUUAAUAUAAUAUAAAUAUUUUUAAAAAAAUUAAAAAUUAAUAUGGACGGACUUAAAAUGAGUUUUAGUUAGUAUUUUGUAAAUACAGACAAGCUUGAAUAAAAUUUUAAGUCCAUAUUUUUUUAUUUUCAACUUUACUCAAAAGUUUAGAUAAAUUAUUAAAUUACCCCACUUGUAAUUUUUGUAAAAAAGUUUCUGAUUCGAAGCGAGCCCACACUCGGCAGACGUGAGCUUGAGGGCAGCGAAGAAGACUACUCGAUCAAAGCAUUCAUCCUAAAUGAAUUGAAAAUGUAUAAUUUUGAUUAAUUGUUUAAUACUUUAGAUAUCACAACCAAGAUCUUAUUUUGAAAAAAAAUUAAAACUCUGGUUUUUCCCUAAUUUUAUUUCUCCUAUGUUUUCUAAACUCGUUUUUUCCAACAACGUACUCAUGAGUCUUCAAAAAAAAAUAGUACGUCUUCAACGGGUUAAUCAAACAUGAUUUCGUUUGAGUUUAAGAGGUUUGCCAAAAUGAAGUAAUAUUGUUUUCAUAUACAGUGUAACCUCCACAAUCUAACCUUAACGUUUAGGCUAGGUUUGGGGCAUUACAAAUCACUUAGUCCUCAAUCUUUUUUGGGUUCAAUCCUUAGAGUACUCGAGUGUUCCAUUAUAACACUAAAAAUAUUACAACUCGACUUGUCACACUUGCAGUACACUGCUAGAUUAUUGAUUGGUUUGCGUUGAUUAUUAUCCCCAAUGUGCACUGUCAAGUUGUUGGCGCUGUUGUCAGGGAGUUUAUGUGUGAUUGAGUGAUUUGCUUGAUUAAUGCUUGUUUACUAGGGAGAUAACUAGCAAAACUUAAUUCUAUAGAUAUGACACUUGUUUUUCUUUCAAUUGCUCAUUUAUUUUCUUAGUUAAGUAUUCUUGAAAUUGAAAACUUAUAGAAUAAUCUUGACAUCACCCUUUCACAAUGGAGAGCUAUUUUUGGACUAAUCUUUCUUCUCAUUUAUUCUGGCUUCACGGUGUUAUUGAAUCUCAUACCUACUCUCUGCCGAUCUUGAAAUGUACACAUCCAUCGUCACCUUCUACAACUGCUUCAUCGAAAAGAAUGUACACCAAAAUCAUUAUGUUAUUCAUCUUCAAAACAAUUUUUGUUUUUUCUUCUACUAAACACAAAUAUUUCACAAAUAUUUAAGUUGAACAGUUACAACAAUGUUAAAAAAAUAGUAUAUUUAAGGAUUGGUGCUACCAAAAAGCUUGGUGGCAACAAAAAAAUUUUAAUGGAAAAGAAAAUAGCCUUGUGCCGCCAACGAGGAAAAUGACACAAAAAAUUAAACUUUCUAACAAAAAAUGUAAUGGCCCAAAUUCAAGGUUAUCGGAAUAGUGGUUUCGUAACCACAAAUCCGAUUUAAAGAGAAAUUUAUUUUAAUAUUUUUCCAUGAAUAUUGGAAUGAUAGGAAAAUAGUAUAAAAAUAUCGAUAGAAAAAUUUUAUCGAUUUAGUGAUUAGUUAGAAAAAGAAAUUAGUGAAGAAAUUGGGUAAAAAUAAGGUAUAGAGACCUCAAUCUCGUAAAACCGAGUCAAAAAUAUUUUUAUAAAUAUUUAUGAACUGUUAAUAAUAUGGUAUUAAAAUUUCGUUCGAAAAUUUUGAUGUUUGGGUAGUCAAUUAAGUGAAAAGGACUAAUUUGAAAAAGGUAUAAAAGUUACUAAAAGGAUUAAAUAGCUCAAUUGUUAAAUGAGGAGGGACAUAAAUUGAAAAUAACCCCAAAAGGAUUCAGGAGAAUUGAAGAAUUAAGGGUAAAAUUGGAAUAUUGCAAAAUUUGCUUUAAAAGAUAGGACUAAAAUGGAAUUAUCUAGAUUUCUCUUCAUUUUUCUGCAUUCCCAUCAGCCAAAAACGUCCUAAGGGUUUCUCCAAGCUGGUUUUUCAUAAUUUUUGCACCAAGUGAGUUAAUCCUUGCCCUUUUCUUGUAAUUUUUGUGUUUCUAAGACUUUUACAACUAGGUCCUAUUACUAAAUUCAUUAGUUUUCGAUUUUGUGGAUGAAGUUGAAAGUUGCUAUGAAUAUGUGCUGGAAUUUUAUGAUGAUAUAGGAUGAAAUUGAAGCUUUAAUCUAUUUAUGAGAUGAUUUUAUUAGGUACUUUCAAUAGAAAUUGAUUUGUAGGACCUAAUUGUGAAAAAGUUUGGAAUUAAAGUCUAGUACUGAAAUUCUGAUUUCCAAAGCUUAUGAAGUAGUUUAAAGUGAUGGGAUAAAGUGUUAAUUGAGAAAAAUCAGCUCAAUUGAUAGGUUAAUUGAGCAGGGAUGAAAUUAGCAUUUAUUGAAAGUUUAGGGAAAAAUGGUAAUUAACAUUAUACACUAAAACAGAUUUGGACAGCAGCAGUAGGUUAACUUUGAAAAAUCACCAAAAAUUGUAGAAAUCGAAUUAGAGGAUGAAUAAAAUAUGAAAUUAAAUCUUAUUGAGUCUAAUUUCUCAUAGAAGAAACGGUUUAAUCAAUGGAAUUGUAAAUCAUGAGAUAUAAUGGAUUUUGUGAGACAAAGUCAGAAGGAAUUCUGGUUCCCCUGUUCUGACUUUGGAAAAUCAUUAAAAAUUGUAGAAAAAUGAUUAUGAGUUGUAAUUUAUAUGUUUAGAAUCCUUAAUGAGUUUAUUUUCAUAAGCAAUAAACGGAAACAUCAUCCAAAUUCUGUAGAAUGAGAUAAUUAAUUUUUAGUGAAGAGGGGUCGGAACUGUCAAACAAUGAAACAGGGGAAUUUUAAAGAAUAAACUGUACUUGUUGGCCAAACCAAAAAUUCUGAAAAUUUUAUGGUAAUAAGAUAUGUGAGUCUAGUUUCAGGUAAAAUUAACGGAUCUUAAUUUUGAGUUCCGUAGCUCAAGAUAUAAAUAUUUUAGUGACUGUGACUCAGUGAGACAGCUUUGAAUGCAUUAUAAAUUAUAAUGGAAUUAUAGAGAAUGUUACAUAUGAACAUGAAAUGUAUUAUAUUAAUGAUUAAAUUUAUUUAUUUAGAUCCAGAAAGUUCAAAUACGAAGCUAGAUCGAGGUAAAGAAAAAGUUCGGGAUUAGUAGAUUUUUGUUUACAAACAAGUGUCGAGGUAAGUUCUUGUAACUUGAAUUAUAUUCAUAAAUGCUUGAAAUGUUUGUUAUUGAUGUGAAUAUGAUUUGGAUGUUUAUUGUAUUAUAAUUGAUGAAGUAUUGAUAUUCUUGAUGAAAAGAGGAAAUAAAUCCCGGUUGAAUGGAAGGAAAAUUCGAUGGAUCUCUGAAAAUGAAUUGACGGUAAAAAGGAUCUAGCUCGGACGGGUGAUCCUCUCCUGAUAUAGCCCUCCCGAAGAAUAUGUGGAAAAUGGAUUUAGCCCGGACGGGUAAUCCGAAUUAGGGUCUGAAUUUAGCCUGGACUGGUAAUUCAGAUCCAAGCUCAUUAGAGUAAUUGUCGUUGUAGGGGAUUUAGCCUGGACUAGUAAUCCCGCUGUAAGGAUGAGGUUCGCGGGAGUGUGCUCUCUGAAAUGGAAAUGUGCGCACAUGAAUAUGAAUUGACGGACCCGGAUUUGUACACUAAAGUGUACCUCUGAAAAUCCAUCGAAAUUCCAAGUAGUUCAACGGGAUAAAUAUGGAAAAUAACAAGGGAAUGGAAAUCAUGGAAUUGAUGAGCUCAUCAAUCAUGGUAUAAAUUAUUGAUACAUGGAAAUUAUUGGACUAAUUUGAAUGUUGAGUUUGUGCAUGAUAGGGGAAUAAUGUAUUGAAUGAAUGUAUGAAUGUUUAUUGUAUUGUAUUGAAAAUAUUAGGUAAGUAUAAUUCUUGUUACAUGAGCUUACUAAGCACAAAGUGCUUACCCUGUUUCCUUUUCCCCUGUUUUGUAGUGUUAAGAGCUCGGAGGUCGGAUUUGGUCGGAGACGCAUCACACUAUUAACCUCAAGAUCUCGGUAUAUAAAGAAACUUUAUUUUAGAAAUCAAUGGCAUGUAUAAGCUAGUAAAGUAGAUGUUAAUGUGAAAUGAAUGUAUAGUUAGCCAUUAGUAUGGCUAACAAACUUUGGUUUUGGAUAUGUGAUGAUAUUAUCUUAUGAAUAUUAUAAAUCUAUCUUGAAAAUAUAUAUUGAAAUGGAUUAGUUGUGUCGAAUUAGCCUCGGUUUAAAAUUUACAGGUAAGAUUUGAUAUUUAUAAAGGGGUUAUAUGAAAAAAAAAUUUCAGUAAAAUUUGGUAAUACCUCGUAUCCUAUUCCGGCGAUGGAAACAGGUAGGGGGUAUUACAUUUGUUGGUAUCAGAGCUACGGUUUAGCCGGUUCUCGGACCGACGUAUCAAAAAUGGGGUUAGCUAUACAUGCCAUUUAAAUUAUUGUUGAUAGUGUGAUAUCUCUUGACCAUUUGAAAUGUGAUUUUCUUAUAGUAAAUGUCUGCCGACCGAGCUCAAACUGAGGAAGCCGAGAGUCAUGCUCCAGCUUCAGAACAAAGAGAAGCUGAAGCUACUAGUAGUAGAAAGUCCGAGACAAGGGACCAAAAUGAAGAAGCUAAAAUGGCCUUCUAUCAAAUGAUGAAUGAAUGGUUUACUCAGUAUAUAAGAACUAACCCUGUAGUGAAGCAAACUCAAGCUCCCCCUCCUCCUCCUCCAUCGGUUUCCGAGAUUCUGCAGGGUACAGGUGCCGAAUCUAUCAGAAAAGGGACAGCUCCGGUUGAUAAAAUUAGAUAAUAUGGGGUAGAGGAAUUCAGAGCUACAAUUAAUGAUGAUCCCGAACGAGCUGAGUUUUGGUUAGAGAAUACUAUUCGGGUUUUGGAGGAACUAUCUUGCAUACUAGAAGAGUGUCUGAAAUGUGCAGUAUCAUUGCUAAAAGAUACAGCUUACCACUGGUGGAAUACUAAAGUUUCAGUUGUUCCGAAAGAAGAAAUUACGUGGGAAUUCUUUCAGACCGAGUUCAGAAAGAAAUAUAUUAGUCAGAGGUUCCUUAAUCAGAAGAGAAAAUAAUUUCUUGAGCUAAAACAGGGUAAUAGAUCAGUAUCUGAGUAUGAAAGAGAGUUUGUCCUAUUGAGUAAAUAUGCUCGAGAAUGGGUACAAUCAGAGGCUGAAAUGUGCAAAUGGUUCGAAGAAGGGUUGAAUGAAGAAAUUAAGCUACUGAUCGGAAUUCUUGAAAUUCGAGAGUUUGCUACAUUGGCAGAGCGAACUUAUAAAGCAGAAGAAUUGAGCAAAGAAAAGAAACAAGCUGAAAGAGAAGCUCGGGUUUUCAGUAAAAGAUCGAUGGAAAAAUCUCAAUUUUUUGCUUCAAAAAAAUUGAAGAAAUACCAGGACCGUUCUACCUCAGCCACUGGGUAUUCGGGUAGAGAGCGAGGUUUUCAGCGUACUAAUCCAAGACCUUCUACCCCAUCAGUGACCAGUGUUGGCAGUGUUGGUACCCCUAAGCCAAGAUGCCAGUACUGUAAUAAAACUCAUUUUGGUGAAUGCCGAUUAAAGAGCGGGGCUUGUUACCGAUGUGGUUCUUUCGAUCAUUUCCUCAGACAUUGUCCAGAAAGGGGUGAAAAUAAGCUGAAUAGACAGCAAAGCUGAGUAAUCCAGUUUUGAGGGGUAGACCACAUCGAUCAUCUGGUGAUGUCGGUGGUAGCCGAAGAGCUACGAGAGAUACUGUAGGCAGGCCUGAGGUACGAGCACCUACUAGGACAUAUGCCAUCCGUGCUAGAGAAGAUGCUUCAGCACCUGAUGUUAUUACUGGUACAUUUUCUUUACUUGAUACUGAUAUUACUGCAUUGAUUGAUCCUGGUUCUACACAUUCAUACAUAUGCACAAAAUUAGUAUUUGUUAAAAAUUUAUCUGUUGAACCUACUGAAUUUGUGGUUAAAGUCUCGAACCCCCUGGGCCAGUUUGUGAUGGUGGAUAAAGUGUGUAAAAAUUAUCCACUGAUGGUAAGAGGUUAUUGUUUCUCGGUUGACUUGAUGUUACUUCCUUUUGAUGAGUUCGAUGUGAUAUUGGGUAUGGAUUGACUAACUCAGCAUGAUGCAGUAGUAAAUUGUAGACAGAAAUAUAUUGUGUUGAAGUGUCAGAAUGGAGAAUUACUUCGGGUUAAAUCUGAUCAGACAGAGGAAUUAUCUAAUGUGAUUUCAGUGCUGACAGCUCAGAGGUGUAUUAGAAAAGGGUAUGAUGCUUAUUUGGCAUAUGUGUUAGACACUACGGUAUCUGAAUCAAAGAUCCAGGCAGUGCCAGUUGUAUGUGAAUUUUCUGAUGUGUUUCCAGAGGAAUUACCGUGGUUGCCGCCAAAAAGAGAAGUGGAAUUUUCUAUAGAUCUGAUUCCGGGAACUACUCCGAUCUCCAUAGCUCCAUAUCGUAUGGCUCCUACGAAAUUAAAUGAGUUAAAGACACAAUUGCAAGAACUUGUUGACAGGGGUUUUGUUCGACCGAGUCAUUCACCUUGGGGUGCUCCGAUUCUAUUUGUGAAGAAGAAGGACGGAUCCUUAAGAUUAUGUAUUGAUUCCCGACAGCUCAACAAAGUCACUAUAAAGAAUAAGUACCCAUUGCCUCGAAUUGACGAUCUGUUUGACCAGUUGAAGGGUGCCACUGUAUUUUCAAAGAUUGAUCUCCGAUCGGGCUACUAUUAGUUACGGGUAAAGGAGUCAGAUGUACCAAAAACAGCUUUCAGAACCAGGUACGGGCAUUAUGAGUUUCUUGUUAUGCCGUUUGGGCUGACUAAUGCACCUGCAGUAUUUAUGGACUUGAUGAAUCGGAUAUUCAGCCCGUACUUAGACAGGUUUGUGGUAGUUUUUAUUGAUGAUAUAUUGGUCUAUUCCCGAGAUGAAAAUGAAUAUGCGGAACAUUUGAGAAUUGUGUUGCAAAUUUUGCGAGAGAAGCAACUAUAUGCUAAAUUCAGUAAAUGUGAAUUUUGGCUGCGAGAAGUGGGUUUUCUCGGACAUAUUGUAUCCGCAGAAGGCAUCAGAGUAGAUCCGAGUAAAAUCUCAGCUAUUGUCAAUUGGAGUCCACCGAAGAAUGUAUCUGAAGUUAGAAGUUUCUUGGGUUUAGCUGGUUAUUAUCGAAGAUUUGUACAGGGGUUUUCUAUGAUAGCUUUUCCGAUGCCCCGCUUAUUACAGAAAGAUGUUAAAUUCGAGUGGGCUGAUGAAUGCCAACAGAGUUUUGAUCGAUUAAAAGAGUUGUUGAAAAAAGCACCUGUGUUGGUACAGCCUGAACCGGGUAAAGAAUUUAUUAUUUAUAGUGAUGCAUCAUUAAAUGGUUUAGGUUGUGUCUUGAUGCAAGAAGGUAAAGUUGUAGCUUAUGCUUCGAGACAACUUAAGCCACAUGAAAUAAAUUACCCGGUGCAUGAUCUUGAAUUAGCUGCUAUUGUAUUUGCAUUAAAAAUAUGGCGGCAUUAUUUGUAUGGUGAAAAAUGUCAUAUUUAUACUGAUCAUAAAAGCCUGAAAUAUUUGAUGACACAGAAAGAUUUGAACUUGAGACAGCGUGGGUGGCUUGAACUGAUAAAAGACUAUGAUUUGGUUAUUGAUUACCAUCCGGGUAAGGCUAAUGUUGUAGCUGAUGCUCUGAGUCGAAAAUCUCUGUUUGCUUUACGAGCUAUGAAUGUCCAGUUGUCUUUGGUUGAUGAUGGUUCAGUCGUAGCUGAGUUGAGAGUUAAACCGACAUUUUUACAACAAAUAUAUGAAGCUCAGAAAAAUGAUGAAUAGCUACAGGCUAAAUGGGUACAAUGUGAGUCAGGUAAUGAUUCAGAAUUUCAGAUUGGAACUGAUGGUUGUUUAUUAUUCAGAGGCAGAGUAUGUGUACCGAAGAAUUCAGAGCUUAUACAGAAGAUUUUACAUGAGGCAUACAGUGGUAUUAUGUCCGUACAUCCGGGAGGUAAUAAAAUGUAUAAUAAUUUGAAGAAGAUGUACUGGUGGCCAGGUAUGAAACGUGAUAUUUCUAAGUUUGUAUCAAGAUGUCUAAUAUGUCAACAGGUCAAAGCUGAACACCAGGUACCUUCGGGAUUGCUCCAGCCAAUUACCAUACCGGAAUGGAAAUGGGAAAGAAUUACUAUGGAUUUUGUGUCAGGAUUACCAUUGUCACCGAAAAAGAAAGAUGCCAUUUGGGUGAUCGUUGAUCGAUUAACAAAAUCAGCACAUUUUAUCCCGGUACGUAUGGGUUAUUCUCUAGAUAAAUUGGCUGAACUGUAUAUAUCUGAGAUUGUCAGGCUGCAUGGAGUGCCAAUCUCUAUUAUCUCUGAUAGAGAUCCCCGAUUUACAUCUCGUUUCUGGGACAAAUUGCAAGAAGCCUUGGGUACUCAGUUGAUCGAUUAACAAAAUCAGCACAUUUUAUCCCGGUACGUAUGGGUUAUUCUCUAGAUAAAUUGGCUGAACUGUAUAUAUCUGAGAUUGUCAGGCUGCAUGGAGUGCAAUCUCUAUUAUCUCUGAUAGAGAUCCCCGAUUUACAUCUCGUUUCUGGGAUAAAUUGCAAGAAGCCUUGGGUACUCAGUUGUAUUUCAGCACUGCAUUUCAUCCUCAGACAGAUGGCCAAUCUGAGCGUGUAAUUCAGGUACUGGAAGAUAUGCUCCGAUGUUGUAUAUUAGAGUUUGAAGGUAAUUGGGAGAAGUAUCUACCUUUGAUUGAAUUUGCUUACAAUAACAGCUAUCAGUCCAGUAUUAAAAUGGCUCAGUAUGAAGCUUUGUAUGGUAGAAAAUGUAGAACACCAUUAUAUUGGACAGAGCUCAGUGAAAAGAAGAUACAUGGGGUUGAUUUGGUCCGGGAAACAGAAGAAAAAGUUAAGGUGAUUCGAGAUAGUCUAAAAGCAACUUCCGAUCGUCAGAAGUCAUAUGCUGAUCUUAAACGAAAAGAGAUUGAAUUCCAGGUGGGUGAUAAGGUAUUCUUAAAAGUGUCUCCUUGGAAGAAAGUUCUCCGAUUCGAUCGAAAGGGCAAAUUGAGUCCAAGAUUUAUCGCGCCAUAUGAAAUCAUAGAAAGAAUUGGACCGGUUGCUUAUCGAUUGGCAUUACCACCGGAACUCGAUAGAAUACAUAAUAUUUUUCAUGUGUCUAUGCUACGACGAUAUCGAUCAGAUCCUUCCCAUGUUAUUUGUCCAACAGAACUGGAGAUUCAGCUAGAUAUGACUUACAGUGAAGAACCAAUCAAGAUAUUGGCACGAGAAACAACAGAGCUUAGAAAUAAAAAGAUAAAUUUGGUGAAAGUAUUAUGGCAAAAGCACGGGGUUGAGGAAGCGACAUGGGAACCGGAGGAGGAAAUGAGGAAACAAUACCCGAACCUCUUUACUGGUAAGAUUUUCGAGGAUGAAAAAUCUUUAAGGGGGGAGAGUAGUAAUGGCCCAAAUUCAAGGUUAUCGGAAUAGUGAUUUCGUAACCACAAAUCCGAUUUAAAGAGAAAUUUAUUUUAAUAUUUUUGCAUGGAUAUUGGAAUGAUAGGAAAUAGUAUAAAAAUAUCGAUAGAAAAAUUUUACCGAUUUAGUGAUUAGUUAGAAAAAGAAAUUAGUGAAGAAAUUGGGUAAAAAUAAGGUAUCGAGACCUCAAUCUCGUAAAACUGAGUCAAAAAUAUUUUUAUAAAUAUUUAUAAAGUGUUAAUAAUAUGGUAUUAAAAUUUUGUUCGAAAAUUUUGAUGUUUGGGUAGUCAAUUAAGUGAAAAGGACUAAUUUGAAAAAGAUAUAAAAGUUACUAAAAGGAUUAAAUAGCUCAAUUGUUAAAUGAGGAGGGACAUAAAUUGAAAAUAACCCCAAAAGGAGAUAUUUUGGGCGGCAUACGCUGAGAAAAAUCAGGAGAAUUGAAGAAUUAAGGGUAAAAUUGGAAUAUUGCAAAAUUUGCUUUAAAAGAUAGGACUAAAGUGGAAUUAUCUAGAUUUCUCUUCAUUUUUCUGCAUUCCCAUCAGCCAAAAACGUCCUAAGGGUUUCUCCAAGCUGGUUUUUCAUAAUUUUUGCAGCAAGUGAGUUAAUCUUUACCUUUUUCUUGUAAUUUUUGUGUUUCUAAGACUUUUACAACUAGGUCCUAUUACUAAAUUCAUUAGUUUUUGAUUUUGUGGAUGAAGUUGAAAGUUGCUAUGAAUAUGUGCUGGAAUUUUAUGAUGAUAUAGGAUGAAAUUGAAGCUUUAAUAUAUUUAUGAGAUGAUUUUAUUAGGUACUUUCAAUAGAAAUUGAUUUGUAGGACCUAAUUGUGAAAAAGUUUGGAAUUAAAGUCUAGUACUGAAAUUCUGAUUUCCAAAGCUUAUGAAGUAGUUUAAAGUGAUGGGAUAAAGUUUUAAUUGAGAAAACUCAGCUCAAUUGAUAGGUUAAUUGAGCAGGGAUGAAAUUAGCAUUUAUUGAAAGUUUAGGGAAAAAUGGUAAUUAACAUUAUACACUAAAACAGAUUUGGACAGCAGCAGUAGGUUAACUUUGAAAAAUCACCAAAAAUUGUAGAAAUCGAAUUAGAGGAUAAAUAAAAUAUGAAAUUAAAUCUUAUUGAGUCUAAUUUCUCAUAGAAGAAACGGUUUAAUCAAUGGAAUUGUAAAUCACGAGAUAUAAUGGAUUUUGUGAGACAAGGUCAGAAGGAAUUCGGGUUCCCCUGUUCUGACUUUGUAAAAUCAUUAAAAAUGGUAUAAAAAUGAUUAUGAGUUGUAAUUUAUAUGGCUAGAAUCCUUAAUGAGUCUAUUUUCAUAAGAAAUAAACAGGAACAUCAUCCAAAUUCUGUAGAAUGAGAUAAUUAAUUUUUAGUGAAGAGGGGUCGGAACUAUCAAACAAUGAAACAAGGGAAACUUUAAAGAAUAAACUGUACUUGUUGGAUAAACUAAAAAUUCUGAAAAUUUUAUGGUAAGAAUAUAUGUGAGUCUAGUUUUAGGUAAAAUUAACGGAUCUUAAUUUGGAGUUCCGUAGCUCAAGAUAUAAAUAUUUUAGUGACUGUGACUCAGUGAGACAGCUUUGAAUGCAUUAUAAAAUGGAAUUAUAGAGAAUGUUACAUAUGAACAUGAAAUGUAUUAGAUUAUGAUUAAAUUUAUUUAUUUAGAUCCAGAAAUUUCAAAUACGAAGCUAGAUCAAGGUAAAGAAAAAGUUCGGGAUUAGUAGAUUUUUGUUUACAAACAAGUGUCGAGGUAAGUUCUUGUAACUUGAAUUAUAUUCAUAAAUGCUUGAAAUGUUUGUUAUUGAUGUGAAUAUGAUUUGGAUGUUUAUUGUAUUAUAAUUGAUGAAGUAUUGAUAUUCUUGAUGAAAAGAGGAAAUAAAUCCCGGUUGAAUGGAAGGAAAAUUCGAUGGAUCUCUGAAAAUAAAUUGACGGUAAAAAGGAUCUAGCCCGGACGGGUGAUCCUCUCCUGAUAUAGCCCUCCCGAAGAAUAUGUGGAAAAUGGAUUUAGCCCGGACGGGUAAUCCGAAUUAGGGUCUGAAUUUAGCCUGGACUGGUAAUUCAGAUCCAAGCUCAUUAGAGUAAUUGUUGUUGCAGGGGAUUUAGCCUGGACUGGUAAUCCCGACAAUACUCUAUGAGUUUAUAUUACAGGAGAUUUAGCCUGGACUGGUAAUCCCGCUGUAAGGAUGAGGUUCGCGGGAGUGUGCUCUCUGAAAUGGAAAUGUGCGCACAUGAAUAUGAAUUGACGGACCCGGAUUUGUACACUAAAGUGUACCUCUGAAAAUCCAUCGAAAUUUCAAGUAGUUCAACGGGAUAAAUAUGGAAAAUAACAAGGGAAUGGAAAUCAUGUAAUUGAUGAGCUCAUCAAUCAUGGUAUAAAUUAUUGAUACAUGGAAAUUAUUGGUCUAAUUUGAAUGUUGAGUUUGUGCAUGAUAGGGGAAUAAUGUAUUGAAUGAAUGUAUGAAUGUUUAUUGUAUUGUAUUGAAAAUAUUAGGUAAGUAUAAUUCUUGUUACAUGAGCUUACUAAGCACAAAGUGCUUACCCUGUUUCCUUUUCCCCUGUUUUGUAGUGUUAAGAGCUCGGAGGUCGGAUUUGGUUGGAGACGCAUCAAACUAUCAACCUCAAGAUCUCGGUAUAUAAAGAAACUUUAUUUUGGAAAUCAAUGACAUGUAUAAGCUAGUAAAGUAGAUGUUAAUGUGAAAUGAAUGUAUAGUUAGCCAUUAGUAUGGCUAACAAACUUUGGUUUUGGAUAUGUGAUGAUAUUAUCUUAUGAAUAUUAUAAAUCUAUCUUGAAAAUAUAUAUUGAAAUGGAUUAGUUGUGUCGAAUUAGUCUCGGUUUAAAAUUUACAGGUAAGAUUUGAUAUUUAUAAAGGAGUUAUAUGAAAAAAAAAUUUCAGUAAAAUUUGGUAAUGCCUCGUAUCCUAUUCCGGCGACGGAAACGGGUAGAUGGUAUUACAAAAAAAUACACCGGUGUCGCCAAUGGCAAUGGCAACACAAAAAAAAAUUCUAUUUUUCUUAAACAUUAUUUUUUUCUAAUGGCUAUUGCCAAGGAGAACGACAUCACAAAAAAAAAAACUUUUGUACUAGUACCGCCAAUGAUAACGACGACACCCAUUAAAUUAAUUUUUUCCUUUUUUUCAUUUUCUCCUAGAAUACCAGUAUUUUUAUGGGGUGGACGAUUAUACAUACUGGUGUCGCUAAUGGCACGACGACACUCAAAAAUUAAUUUGGUAAAAAUUAAGGAUUACAUAUGAUUAAUGGUACUAUUUUGUUAUCAAGCAUCAUGAGGGUGUUGAUAUAUUACUUACGUGGAACAUUACAAUCGAAUUCAAAUUUUGUUUUGUAGACUAAAAAUUAUCUUUUCAAUAAAUUUUCAUUUAAUUUAAAAUUUUAUUAAAAUAAUAUGUUUUUACUUUUGGGGUGGCCAAUCACACCUAAAUAAAAAAUAUCGGUACCAACUCUAUAUAUUUAAUAUUAAAUUAAAUUUUACUGUUUAAAUAAAUAGAUGUGAACAAAACUCGAUUUGAUUCGAAAAAAAUCAAUUUUUUUUAAAAUUUUAGUUAAUCAAAUUGAGUUAUUUGAAUUAUUCGAGUCAAAUCAAAUAAAUAAUUUGAGUUUCGAGUUCGGAUUGAGUUGAAUUUUACAAUUCGAAUAACUCUAAUAAUUUGAAUAACAGAUUGAUGUAUAUACCCUUUUGGUCCCUGUCAAGUUUGAAAAUAAGCAAAUUGGUCUCUCUCAACACAAAUUACAAAAAAUUCAAAAUAAUUUUCAAAAAUUCAAAAUAACUUUCAAAUAUUCCAAAAUAAUUUUUAAAACUCAAAAUAUUUAUAAAAUUCUAAAAUUUAUAUUUUUCAAAAAAUUAUAAAAAUUUCAAAAAAUUUCUAAAAAAUUUAUAAAGAAAGUUAAUAAUUUAAAAUAAUAAUUUAAAAUUUAAAAUAAUGUAUAUAACUAAAACAAUUAACUUAUUGUUCAAUUAUGCAUUAAGACACAAUACUUGUAUGGCGUAAAUAAUUACAAUUAGAUAGUCAUAAUUAUUGAAUUAAUUUGUGCAUAGUACCAAUAAAAGCUCAUUUCUAAAUUUUUUUUACGGAAAUGAGCAGCUUCUAAAAAUAAUUACGAGUAUGGACUGAAAAUCUAAAAAAGCACUGAUAUGGGUGCGUUUUGAGGAAUAACUCAAAAAAAUGCUUCCACAUUAGUGCUUUUUUCCUUGUAUCAGGCAAAAGCACGUUGAUGUAGACGCGCUUUUGCCCGUGCUCGGACUAAAUUUUUUUAAAAAAUGUCAUUUUUUUAAAAUAUUUAAAAAAUAGACUAAUUUUUUUAAAAAAAAUUAAUAUAAUAAGCCUUUAUAAAAACAUAAAGCGGUAGCACCAUUUCUUUUUUUUUCUUGUGCCACAAAUUAAUAUGGAAAUAAAACUUACAAAACAGAUAUUUAUAUAAACCCAAAAUCUCAUUUUUCACAUUGUAAAAUAUAAUUAGUUAUAUAAAGAUCUAUUCUGUAAAUUUAUUUUUAUAUUAAUUGGUGGCACAAAAAAGAAAAAAAAGAAUGGUGCUGCCACUUUGGAUCUUUAUAAAGGCUUAUUCUCGUAUUUUUUUAAAAAAAUUGAUCUAUUUUUAUAAUAUUUUUAAAAAAUAAUAUUUUUUGAAAAUUUAGUCUGAACACGAAUAAAAAUGUGUCCACGACACAAAAAAAAAUUUAGUCUGAACACGAACAAAAUUGAUCUAUUCCUUAUAUAUUUAUAUAUUUGAUACAAAUAUAAUCCUAAUAACUACCCAAAUGCUGUAAAUUACUAAACUGUAAAUGUAUAAAAAUAUGAAAUAUUUUAAACAUGUGUAUCAUAGAAUUCAAUUAAGAUAUUGUAUGAAAGUAUGAUUUCUUCUAUUCUCUUGUAAGAAUUGAAGGCUUUUUGAUUGGGUGAGUUCAAAGAAGUAUUGUUUAGUCUGCCUUAUUUUCCUUUCUUCAUUUUUUUCCUUAUAUCAAAAAACAUAUUAAUAACUCAAUCAAAAUUAUCUCCAAGAACAAAAUUUUGUUAUGCUUAAUAUCUUUAAUUUGAUCUGUAUCUGUUUUAAUUCUGCCCUUUUUUCGAGUAGUUUCUAGAUUAUGGCAUAUUUGGUGAAAAUUAAUUAUAUUUAUAAAAAAAAAUUGACUCUCAAAUUUAUACGAAAAAGAAGUUAAGAAAUGAAAUGGCUAAAGUACCAUCCAUUAUCCAAGCAAAGCAAAUAACGGACAAUUUAUCAAAAAAAGCCUUUUUUUAUAUUUACCGAAAUAGGCCCGAUAUUUUAUUAUUUACCAGAAUGUGCCUUUUCCGGCAAAUUGCGUCCACGUCAGCGCGAUGUUAGGGGACGUACCAGGAAAUCGCGGCCACGUCAGCGUGCUUUGCUGAUGUGGCAACAAAUAGCGUCCACGAGGGGGCGAUUUGUUGCCACGUUAGCAAAGCGCGCUGACGUAGCCGCGAUUUCCCCUAAUAUCCCCACCUCUUUUUUUUUUCACAAACUAAUCAUCGCUCAAAUUUCCUCUCAAUUUCCUCUAAAUUUUCUCUCAAUUUUGGUGUUGAGAGGAAGCAUUGCAAAUAAUUAAAUAAGAUAUUUCAAAAGAAGGUGGAAAGGAAGACUAAAACAUUUUGGCGAUAAAGUUAAAAAAAUAAAUUGAGAGAAAUUUAAAAAAAAAUUAGAGUCAAAAUUUUGAAGGGUCAAAAAGUUCUUUCACAAUUAUUCAUAGUGAUUUAAAAAUAAGAAUUACAAAAUUAACAAUUAAUAAAAAUAAUGAAAUAAAUUUUAAUUAUAAUGACAUUAAUGAUUAAAAACGGAUAAUAUUAAUUAUAAAUUUUAAUUAUAAUGGAGCUUUGCCACGUUUACGGAAAAAAUAAGAUAUUAAUUAGUGAAGAUGAGUACAUGUGAACAAUGACAUUAAAUGUAUGUCCUGUGGGUGUGCAGGAAAGAUGAAUGGUAGUGUCGGCAUUGUUUAUUGAUUGGUAGCUGAUAAGAAAAUAAUAGUGAAGAUGAGUACAUGUGAACAAUGACAUUAAAUGUAUGUCCUGUGGGUGUGCAGGAAAGAUGAAUGGUAGUGUCGGCAUUGUUUAUUGAUUGGUAGCUGAUAAGAAAAUAAUAGUGAAGAUGAGUACAUGUGAACAAUGACAUUAAAUGUAUGUCCUGUGGGUGUGCAGGAAAGAUGAAUGGUAGUGUCGGCAUUGUUUAUUGAUUGGUAGCUGAUAAGAAAAUAAUAGUGAAGAUGAGUACAUGUGAACAAUGACAUUAAAUGUAUGUCCUGUGGGUGUGCAGGAAAGAUGAAUGGUAGUGUCGGCAUUGUUUAUUCAUUGGUAGCUGAAAAGAAAAUAAUAGUGAAGAUGAGUACAUGUGAACAAUGACAUUAAAUGUAUGUCCUGUGGGUGUGCAGGAAAGAUGAAUGGUAGUGUCGGCAUUGUUUAUUCAUUGGUAGCUGAAAAGAAAAUAUAGUUGAGCUGCGGCUUCUGUUUUCAAUGCUUAUGCUCCAACAAUAGACUCAUUUAAUUUCAUAAUUCCAAAAACUGUGACCUGUUUUUCCCUUUCCUUGUGUUUUCCAUCUCAUUUGCAACUAUUCAUUGACUUCAACUCCCUUGACAAUCCAUCUCCAUUCCUUUCCCUCAAUCUCCCCUUCCUUCUUCAUCUCUCUCUUUGAUUUCUUUGUCCCAAUUCCACCAUGUCUGUCUUUGGAGAGGCUGCUGUUUCUGCCUUUUUGGAGCUGUUGUCUGCCAAGUUGCUUGACUCUGCACUCAGCUUUGUGGCCGAUUACCAGCAAGUCCGCGAGCAACUCAUGCUGUGGCAAUCCUUAUUAGCCGAUAUCAAAGCAGUGUUGAACCAUGCAGAGGAGGAGCAGAUCCACGACGAGGGUGUGAAGAAUUGGUUGGACGAUCUCCAAGACUUGGCUUACGAUGUGGAUGACAUCUUGGACGAGGCCGCUUACCAAAAGUUACGUCUCAAGCUCCAAAAAACUCAAGCACAAGCCAGCUCUAGUCAGGGAGGGAAACUCAUUAUAGCCUUAGAAUCUGGUUUUCGUUUCUGUCAAUUCUCUUUUAUGUUCAAUUCAAAGAUACAAGCAAUCACUGAUAGACUGAAUAGUUUGAAGACUCGAAGAAGUAGUUUGGGGUUGAGUGAGAUCAUGUCUCAAGGCGCAACUUCCAUGGGAAACCAACCCAGGCUGCAACCAACUUCGUUGAUGGAUGGAGCUGUGGAGUAUGUUGGUAGAGCCAAUGAGAAGCAAGAAAUGCUUGAGUUGCUCAAAAGUAACAAUUCCGAUGGAGUUCGUGUCCUUUCCAUCGUUGGCAUGGGAGGGAUGGGGAAAACAACUCUUGCUCAGCUUGUUUACAAUGAUCCCAGCAUUAAGGAGUCUUUCGAUCACAAGUCCUGGGUAUGCGUUUCUACUGACUUUGAUGCUGUUAACAUAACAAAGACGAUUUUAAGAUCCCUCGAUGCUGACUCACAUGAUGAGAAUGACUUGAACUCGCUUCAAGUCAAGUUGAAGUACAAGUUAUCCUUAAAAAGGAUGUUGCUUGUUUUAGAUGACAUUUGGAACGAGAGUUACAGUGAUUGGACCAUCUUACGGACUCCAUUUGGAGCAGGAACCAAGAUUAUUGUAACAACUCGACUCCAAACGGUUUCAUCUAAUGUCGAUUCGGUGAAAGCGUUUUACUUGGAUAAACUCUCGCAUCAUGAUUGUUUAUCCAUAUUUGCUCAGCAUGCAUUGAAAGCAAGAAACUUUGAUGGGCAUCCCCAAUUUAAAGAAAUUGGAGAGAACAUAGUGAGAAGGUGCAACGGCUUACCUUUGGCAGCAAAAGCCAUUGGAAGCUUAUUACGCACAGUUACGGAUCACAGUGAAUGGGAAAAGGUAUAUCGGAGUGAGAUAUGGGACCUACCAGAAGAUCGAUGUGACUUAAUUCCAGCUUUGCGAUUAAGCUACCAUUAUCUUCCUCCUCAUUUGAAACGAUGCUUUGCAUACUGCUCCAUAUUUCCUAAAGAUUAUGAAUUUGAAGAAGAAGAGAUAAUCUUGUUAUGGAGAGCAGAAGGUUUCUUGCAAUCAAAAGAUAAAAAUCAAGGCAAAGGUCUUGGAAACCAAUAUUUUCAAGGUCUAGUGUCAAGGUCAUUUUUUCAAAGAUCUAGUGAAGACAAAUCCCGUUUCGUGAUGCAUGAUCUUAUGAAUGAUUUAGCUCAAUCAGUUGCAGGAGAAAUAUGUUGCAGACUGGAGGGUGAAAAGCAACAAAAGUUUUCGCAUCGUUCUCGCCACUCAGCUUAUGUUAUCGAUGAUUGGUGUCAGAGUGAAAAGAAGUUUAAGGCAUUUUAUCAAAUGACUUCUUUACGUACUUUCUUACACUUAAAGGAUCCAAGAUAUGGGGAAUUAUAUAUAUCUAACAUUGUCUUGGAUGAUUUAUUGCCAAAACUUAGCUACUUAAGGGUUCUUUCUUUGGGUGGGUAUAAGAUCUAUGAUUUGCCCGACUUUUUUGAAAAAUUAAAACAUCUACGCUACUUAAAUUUUUCUAGAACCCGAAUCAAGCGUUUACCUGAUUCUUUGUGUAGUCUUUAUUUUUUGGAGACUUUAAUAUUAAGGGGUUGUUCAUAUCUCAAAAAUUUACCCUCGAAGAUCGGAAACCUUCUCAACUUGCAUUUUCUUGAUAUUAGAGGUGCGGAUUUAAUAGAAAGGAUGCCCUCCGGAUUUGAUCAGCUAACUCAGCUUCAAACGUUAUCUAAUUUUGUUAUAGGGAAAGGUGAUGGACGUCUUAUUAGUGAAUUGAAAAAUUUGUCAUACCUUAGAGGUAAUUUUUGUCUUUCUGGAUUGGAGAAUAUUAAUGGUCAAGAUGCGAGGGAAGCUAAGUUAAAUGAGAAGCUAGAGAUUGAUGGGUUAGAACUACAAUGGGGUCCAGACUUGGAGAAUAAUACAAGGAAAACAGAAGUCGAAGAGCGGGUGUUGGACUUUCUUCAUCCUCCGAAAAUGCUUGAGCAACUUAUCAUUGAGAAUUACGGGGGGGUAAAAUUCUCAUCUUGGAUAGCAGAUUCUUCCCUCAAGAAUUUGUCGUCUUUGAAGCUUCGCAAUUGUAAAAAUUGCAAGUCACUACCAUCAGUUGGAAGGUUGCCAUUGUUAAAAGAUCUUUCAAUUUUUGGUUUCGAUCAAGUACAGAAGAUUGGUGUUGAGCUCUUCGGAGAAAAUCAAUUGAAUCCAUUUGCAUCAUUAGAGAUUCUGUCUUUUGAGAGACUUCCAAACUGGAAGGAGUGGGACACUUGUGAAGGAGACGAGAAGGUUUUGAAACUCCCCAGCCUUCGUGAGCUUUCAAUCAAAAACUGUCCUCAAUUGUUAGGAAGGUUGCCUACCCAUCUUGCUUCCUUGCAAAAACUUGAAAUUCAUUGGUGUAAGAGUUUGGUUGUUUCAAUAUCAAGUUUCCCGUCACUGAGUGAAUUAAGUAUACAAGGGUGUGCAGAACUGGUGGAUGAUUGCUCUUCUCCUGCAAAGGAGCUUUCUUCUUUGCAAACUUUGUCUCUUUCUAACAUUUCAAAGUUUAAUAUUCCAGCAGAUAGGACAAUGUUGAGGUUUGGAAACUCAGAACAUUUUAAAAUUGGUGUUUGGCAGGAGUUGGCAUCUCUAUCACGGCAUGGGUUUAGUUUAGUUGGACAUCGUUUCAUUACAGUUUGGGGUUGUCCUCAACUGCAAUCUUUGGAAGCAGAGAAAGCCGAAUUACAACCUGACAAGAUUUCACGUGUUGAAUCUUUGAGGAUAGAUUGUUGUGAUAGGCUCAAUAGACUGCCACAAGUCUUACAUGAGCUCACAUUCCUUACAGUGAUGGUAAUUUGUCAAUGUCGAAGCUUGGUUUCUUUUGCAGAGAAUAACGUACCUCCUAAUUUAAAAAAGCUGAGAAUUGUACAAUGUGAGAAUUUGGAGUAUUUGGUUGAUGAAAAAGAAGAUAUUUGCAAUCAGCUUCAACUUCUCGAAAUUAACCGCUGCUCAAAGCUGAGUUGCCUAUUUUCAAACACCAAGUUUCCCAUAACGCUUAAAUAUUUGACAAUUUGGGGAUGUCCAAUGUUGGAAUACAUGGCCGAGGAGUUUGAGGAAAGCGCUUGUCUUGAAUCUAUUAAUAUUAUAGAUUCUGGAAUUAAAUCUCUACCACGAGGACUAGACAAGCUCAUCCAUCUCCAGGAGAUUUUUUUACGUUCGUGUUCAAAUUUGGUUUCCUUUGAAGAAUGUGGGUUGCUCAGCACCAGCUUCAGAGCUUUUGUAGUUGAGAGCUGUGGAAAUUUUGGAGCCCUUCCUAAGUGCAUGGCCAGCAUCACCUCCCUUCGACGAUUAAGUGUGCGCAACUGUUCGGCUGACAUAUCGUUUCCAUCGGAGGGAUUCCCUGCCAAUCUCACAUCACUUGCAAUCUCAAACGCACCCAAGAUUUAUAGGUCACUUGUGGAAUGGGGAUUAAAUAGACUCACCUCUCUUCAAGAAUUGACCAUCGGAGGUGAAAGAUGCUCAAACGUGGUGUCGUUCCCAGAAAAAGGGAUUGGAAUGAUGCUGCCUCCUUCUCU
rnacentral:lncRNA from 1 species